CCUACGGGUGGCAGCAGUAGGGAAUCUUCCACAAUGGGCGAAAGCCUGAUGGAGCAACGCCGCGUGGGUGAAGACGGUCUUCGGAUCGUAAAACCCUGUUUUUGGAGAAGAAAGUGCGUGCGCGUAACUGUUCACGUUUCGACGUUAUCUAACCAGAACGCCACGGCUAACUACGGGCCAGCAGCCGCGGUAAUACGUAGGUGGCAAGCGUUAUCCGGAUUUAUUUGGCGUAAAGGGAACGGAGGCGGUCUUUUAAGUCUGAUGUGAAAGCCUUCGGCUUAACCGGAGUAGUGCAUUGGAAACUGGGAGACUUGAGUGCAGAUGAGGAGAGUGGAACUCCAGGUGUAGCGGUGAAAUGCGUAGAUAUAUGGAAGAACACCAGUGGCGAAGGCGGCUCUCUGGUCUGUAACUGACGCUGAGGUUCGAAAGCGUGGGUAGCAAACAGGAUUAGAUACCCUAGUAGUC
rnacentral:rRNA from 1 species